CAGCCAACAGCCUCUAUUGACCGAAGACUUGGGGGACUACACUAUGUACCAUAUAUUGGGCCUCAUGAAAAAUACUUGGGGGACUUAGCCCAUUAUUUAUGUAUUGAGAAGCGAGCCCUUAUUCUAUAAAAAUGGACUCCCUCACUUUCAUUAGAGAGCACCCAUUAUUCAUGUACUGAGGAGCGAGCCCUUAUUUUUUAAAAGGGACUCCCUCACAUUCAUUAGAGAGCAUCGCUGCCAGCUG
rnacentral:lncRNA from 1 species